UACGUAGGUGGCAAGCGUUAUCCGGAAUUAUUGGGCGUAAAGCGCGCGUAGGCGGUUUUUUAAGUCUGAUGUGAAAGCCCACGGCUCAACCGUGGAGGGUCAUUGGAAACUGGAAAACUUGAGUGCAGAAGAGGAAAGUGGAAUUCCAUGUGUAGCGGUGAAAUGCGCAGAGAUAUGGAGGAACACCAGUGGCGAAGGCGACUUUCUGGUCNUGUAACUGACGCUGAUGUGCGAAAGCGUGGGGAUCAAACAGGAUUAGAUAC
rnacentral:rRNA from 1 species